GGAGAGAUGCCAGAGUGGUCGAAUGGGCCGCACUCGAAAUGCGGUGUACCGGCAACGGUACCUAGGGUUCGAAUCCCUAUCUCUCCGCCA
rnacentral:tRNA from 1 species